AGAGUUGAUUAUGGCUCAGGAUGAACGCUAGCGACAGGCUUAACACAUGCAAGUCGAGGGGCAGCACGGGAGUAGCAAUACUUGGUGGCGACCGGCGCACGGGUGAGUAACGCGUAUGCAACCUACCUAUCAGAGGGGAAUAACCCGGCGAAAGUCGGACUAAUACCGCAUAAAACAGGGGCACCGCAUGGUGAUAUUUGUUAAAGAAAUUCGCUGAUAGAUGGGCAUGCGUUCCAUUAGGUAGUUGGUGAGGUAACGGCUCACCAAGCCGACGAUGGAUAGGGGAACUGAGAGGUUGGUCCCCCACACUGGUACUGAGACACGGACCAGACUCCUACGGGAGGCAGCAGUGAGGAAUAUUGGUCAAUGGGCGGGAGCCUGAACCAGCCAAGUCGCGUGAAGGAAAAGAAGGAUCUAUGGUUCGUAAACUUCUUUUGCAGGGGAAUAAAGUGCAGGACGUGUCCUGUUUUGUAUGUACCCUGAGAAUAAGGAUCGGCUAACUCCGUGCCAGCAGCAGC
rnacentral:rRNA from 1 species